rnacentral:rRNA from 1 species
CCCUACGGGAGGCAGCAGUGGGGGAUAUUGCACAAUGGGGGGAACCCUGAUGCAGCGACGCCGCGUGGGUGAAGAAGCGCCUCGGCGCGUAAAGCCCUGUCAGCAGGGAAGAAAACGACGGUACCUGAAGAAGAAGCCCCGGCUAACUACGUGCCAGCAGCCGCGGUAAUACGUAGGGGGCAAGCGUUAUCCGGAUUUACUGGGUGUAAAGGGGGCGCAGACGGCGAUGCAAGCCAGGAGGGAAAGCCCGGGGCCCAACCCCGGGACUGCUCUUGGAACUGCGUGGCUGGAGUGCAGGAGGGGCG